rnacentral:rRNA from 1 species
CCCUUAGACGUUCUGGGCCGCACGCGCGCUACACUGACCAGUGCAACAAGCAUCCGUCCUUGGCCGACAGGCUCGGGCAAUCUUUGAACGCUGGUCGUGAUGGGGAUAGACUUUUGCAAUUUUUGGUCUUCAACGAGGAAUUCCUAGUAAACGCAAGUCAUCAACUUGCAUUGAUUACGUCCCUGCCCUUUGUACACACCGCCCGUCGCACCUACCGAUUGAAUGGUCCGGUGAAGCCUCCGGAUUGGCGCGCACCUCGGUGCCGCCGAGAAGUUGGCUAAACCUUACCAGUUAGAGGAAGGUGAAGUCGUAACA